UAGGUUGGUAAUGAUGUUGACUCUUAGU
rnacentral:piRNA from 1 species